rnacentral:rRNA from 1 species
UGGCUCAGGACGAACGCUGGCGGCGUGCUUAACACAUGCAAGUCGAACGAUGAAGCACCAGCUUGCUGGUGUGGAUUAGUGGCGAACGGGUGAGUAACACGUGAGUAACCUGCCCCUCACUCUGGGAUAAGCCUGGGAAACUGGGUCUAAUACUGGAUACGACCGAUCUCCGCAUGGAGUGUUGGUGGAAAGUUUUUGUGGUGGGGGAUGGACUCGCGGCCUAUCAGCUUGUUGGUGGGGUAAUGGCCUACCAAGGCGACGACGGGUAGCCGGCCUGAGAGGGCGACCGGCCACACUGGGACUGAGACACGGCCCAGACUCCUACGGGAGGCAGCAGUGGGGAAUAUUGCACAAUGGGCGAAAGCCUGAUGCAGCGACGCCGCGUGAGGGAUGACGGCCUUCGGGUUGUAAACCUCUUUCACCAGGGACGAAGCUAACGUGACGGUACCUGGAGAAGAAGCACCGGCUAACUACGUGCCAGCAGCCGCGGUAAUACGUAGGGUGCGAGCGUUGUCCGGAAUUAUUGGGCGUAAAGAGCUUGUAGGCGGUUUGUCGCGUCUGCUGUGAAAGACCGGGGCUUAACUCCGGUUCUGCAGUGGGUACGGGCAGACUAGAGUGUGGUAGGGGAGACUGGAAUUCCUGGUGUAGCGGUGAAAUGCGCAGAUAUCAGGAGGAACACCGAUGGCGAAGGCAGGUCUCUGGGCCAUUACUGACGCUGAGAAGCGAAAGCAUGGGGAGCGAACAGGAUUAGAUACCCUGGUAGUCCAUGCCGUAAACGUUGGGCGCUAGGUGUGGGACUCAUUCCACGAGUUCCGUGCCGCAGCUAACGCAUAAGCG